UCGAACGGUAACAGGAAGCAGCUUGCUGUUUCGCUGACGAGUGGCGGACGGGUGAGUAAUGUCUGGGAAACUGCCUGAUGGAGGGGGAUAACUACUGGAAACGGUAGCUAAUACCGCAUAACGUCGCAAGACCAAAGAGGGGGACCUUCGGGCCUCUUGCCAUCGGAUGUGCCCAGAUGGGAUUAGCUAGUAGGUGGGGUAACGGCUCACCUAGGCGACGAUCCCUAGCUGGUCUGAGAGGAUGACCAGCCACACUGGAACUGAGACACGGUCCAGACUCCUACGGGAGGCAGCAGUGGGGAAUAUUGCACAAUGGGCGCAAGCCUGAUGCAGCCAUGCCGCGUGUAUGAAGAAGGCCUUCGGGUUGUAAAGUACUUUCAGCGGGGAGGAAGGGAGUAAAGUUAAUACCUUUGCUCAUUGACGUUACCCGCAGAAGAAGCACCGGCUAACUCCGUGCCAGCAGCCGCGGUAAUACGGAGGGUGCAAGCGUUAAUCGGAAUUACUGGGCGUAAAGCGCACGCAGGCGGUUUGUUAAGUCAGAUGUGAAAUCCCCGGGCUCAACCUGGGAACUGCAUCUGAUACUGGCAAGCUUGAGUCUCGUAGAGGGGGGUAGAAUUCCAGGUGUAGCGGUGAAAUGCGUAGAGAUCUGGAGGAAUACCGGUGGCGAAGGCGGCCCCCUGGACGAAGACUGACGCUCAGGUGCGAAAGCGUGGGGAGCAAACAGGAUU
rnacentral:rRNA from 1 species